ensembl:lncRNA
UGGAAGCUGAGAUGAUUAAUCAGUGCCUUGAUAUGGGGGAACAAAUGUCCAACCUGCAUGUGUGGAACCGUCGUGGGAGAACAGUACCAGCCUUGUGUAUUCCUCUGUGCAAUAAUCAAGAGGCAUCAUCAAACAACCCGUUGGGAAGUCCUAACACUUGCUACUCAUUAAGGAAACCAGAGGCUCAGAUCCUCCUCCAGAUAGAGAACAUUUUGCUACCACCUGACACAGAGUUUCAUGAGCAAGCACGGAAUGGGAAGGUGAAUAAAUAGCCUUUACCAAUCCUUCACUCCAGUAAUUCUCCUUCCCACUUGUAUUCUGCAGGCAUCAGCGACCAGGAGAAUCAUAAAAUCAUAGAGUCAUUGAGUUGGAACAGGCCUAUAAGGCUAUCGAGUCCAACCCCUUGAGAAAACAAAAGAUGAACAGGAUUCUGUUCUUUGGGUGUUCAGCCUUCCUCUGCUGUGCUUUCGCUCUUAGAUGUCGUUAUUGCAUGGUGACCAAAUGUUCAGCCGAGACACAUGGGACGUGCCUAGCUCUGCCUGGGCAACAUUGCUUCACUGAGAGAGUCUACAAACAAGAUGUACGGGAUUUUAUCUCGAAAGGAUGCACUUUGCCGGGAGAUAAAUGCAAUACCACCAGAGAAGAUCGUGGCUGGGGCACGGUGACAAGAGAGUGUUGCAAUAUCCGCAACUUUUGCAAUAAAUGAAUUUGCCUUCCUGGCUUCACCUUGCCAAUUGGACCGGUGGAAAGCCGUUGCAGCAGAUCAACCAAUAUUAGAAGAUAUUUUCACUUCCCUCUGUAAUAUUUGCGAGAGCCUUCCUAGCAGAUGGUCAUGUAUGGAAGUGUGCAAAUACCACACACUAUGAUUUGGCCCCAAUUAUUUGUCUAAUCACAACCAAUUCGUAGCUCAUCUGAUUUGAUUUGUGUCUGAAUCUUUAAAAGCAUUUGUACGUAUUUGUAUGUAUUUAUAUGGAUGGGAUUUUAAAAAUUAUUUUUGGACUACAAAUCCCAUGAUUCUCAAUCCUAGGAGUUCUACCUGAUAGACAGACACCUUAUAAUCACUUAUAUGAGCUUCAAAAUAGCUGGAGGUCUUUGAGGUUGAGUUAGGCUGACAUCAGCCUUGUUUCUUGUUCCUUGCUAAUGAGUAAUAGUAAAUCAUAUGCAUAUAAAGCUAAUUUAAAUACUUGCAAUUGAACCAUAUACCAUCCUGCUCUGACUAAUACCACGUGACAAUGGUUCCAAACAAAUAACAAUGGAGACAAGCAACAUUCUUGUCUUGUACCUUUCUCCAAAUGAAAAAGAUAAGAAAAGAAUCCAUUGACCCUUACUUGUGAUUUAUGACAGGGACAUAAAAUUUUAAUCCUUUUUACCUUGGGAGAUGGUGAGCUGGAAUUUCCUCUUGAAUGCUGGAAGCAUUCAAGAGAAAAUUGGAUAACCAUCUGUUAGAUCCGCUUUGAUCUGGAUUUGUGCCUUGAGAAGAGGGUUGGACUUGAUCGCCUUAAAGGCCCCUUCCAGCUCAAUUUUUCUAUGAUUUUAUGAUUACCAUGGAAAUUUAGUAAUAGCUUAUGUUUGACAAAUGUUUAAGCAUUUGGCCAAAUACAGUACACAGUUGUAUCCAAUACCUGUGCAAAGCCUUUGAAGAAGUAAACCCAUGUAGUUCCAUCCAUCUGUCCUUGGGUCAAGAUGUAGCAUCCAUUUGGAAUGUUUUUCCAGAUGCUUCUUUUCCAAUAAAAUAUUAUUUUGAAAAAACA